GACAAACGCUGGCGGCGUGCCUAAUACAUGCAAGUCGAACGGUCUCUUUUCGGAGAGAUAGUGGCGGACGGGUGAGUAACACGUAGAUGACCUACCCUGAUGUGGGGAAUAACCCCUCGAAAGAGGAGCUAAUACCGCAUAAGCUGUGCAGCGUGGGCUGCACAGGAAAUGUUCUCCCUUUGGAAACAGAGGGAGAGCAGCAACAGGAGGGAUCUGCGGCGGAUUAGCUAGAUGGUGGGGUAACGGCCUACCAUGGCGACGAUCCGUAGCUGGUCUGAGAGGACGACCAGCCACACUGGGACUGAGACACGGCCCAGACUCCUACGGGAGGCAGCAGUAA
rnacentral:rRNA from 1 species